ensembl:misc_RNA Y_RNA Y RNA
GGCUGCUCCGAAGGUAGUGAGUUCUUGAUUGUUUACAGUCAGUUACUGAUGGAACUCCUUGUUCUACUUUUCCCCCCUUCUCACUACUGCACUUGACUAGUCUCUU